rnacentral:rRNA from 1 species
GUAGUUUGAUCAUGGCUCAGGAUUAACGCUGGCGGUAUGCCUAACACAUGCAAGUCGAACGGAAUACUAAUUAAGAGAAUCUCACACUAGUGAGAGGUUCUCACGAGUAGUAUUUAGUGGCGGACGGGUGAGUAACACGUUGGAACCUGCCCCGAAGUGGGGAAUAACUGCUCGAAAGAGUAGCUAAUACCCCAUAGUAUCCGGUUUAUCCGGAUUAAAGAUUUAUCGCUUCGGGAGGGGCCUGCGUCUGAUUAGCUAGUUGGCGAGGUAAAAGCUCACCAAGGCGACGAUCAGUAGCUGGUUCGAGAGGAUGACCAGCCACACUGGGACUGAGAUACGGCCCAGACUCCUACGGGAGGCAGCAGUGAGGAAUCUUCCACAAUGGGCGCAGGCCUGAUGGAGCAAUACCGCGUGCAGGAAGACGCUUUUCGGAGUGUAAACUGCUUUUGUCGUCGAAGAUUAUGACUGUAGACGAAGAAUAAGGACCGGCUAACUACGUG